AUACAGCAACACAUCUGCAGCAAUGGAUAUCUCGGAUGACUUCGUGGACAUUUAGAAGACGAUCAGCCUGCAAAGAAACUGGGUUUUGAUGCAAUGACACCGAAGAAGAAUCAAAUAUGCAGCCCAAUGAAAGAUUCUCCGAAGACGGACAGUGGAAGUGUAGAGAUCAUUUCAUAUGGACAGUAUUUUAGUCCAUUCAAAUCUGAAAUGCAUAGGGAGGUUAUUGAACAGUUUCAGAACAUAGAAAA